GCCGCUGGAGAUUCGCCAGAUGUUGGACUCCAGGUAAGCUUGCUCCUGGGAGGCGGGGCGGUUAGGUCAGGGGGCGGCGGCAGCGGCAGAGGGGCGGAGCGGGGCUGCCCCUGGCGAACUGGUGGAAUAGCUGCCUUGUCCCGGCUGCCGGGCCUGGGAGAGGCCUGUGCUGCCCCAGGUCGCCGGACACGCCUGUCCCACUUAGCUUGCUGAGUGGGGAGUGGGGGCGGUGCCAUUAAGGUGAGGGGCCCACGGGGGGAGGGGGGCUGCCGCGCGGAAGCCGCUCAAUUCGCUCCGCUCUCUCCCGCGGCGGAGCCUGGGAGCGGCCUCCGCUGCCCUAGAGGCGGGACGCCGGUCUCCAGGUGAGCUUGCUCCUGGGAGGCGGGGCAGCGGCGGCAGGGGGAGGGGAUGUGUUCCAGGGAGCUGCUCCAUUUCUUCUCUCUCUCGCGGCCUGGCCUUGGGGCGACCUCUGCCGCCGGAGAUUUGCCUGAGGUCCGACUCCAGCUUAGCCACCGGAGGUGGGCAAGAUGUGCUGAGGGGGCGGAGGCAGCUGCCAAGACAGCGACGGAGGGGGUUGUCCCUGGCCAGCUGGUCAAUUUGUUCCAAUCUCAAACUUUGCUGCCCAGUUUCGCAGGACGCCCUUCUCCAGUUUAUCCUUCUCCUGGGAGGUAACAUUUUAGGUUAUUGGGUCACAGAUUGCUGGCACACUCAUCCCUGUUCUCAAACAUCUUUUAAACUUGGGUGAAGUGAUAAGUAGGGGAAGAUGAUUUACUGAAAGCAAUGCAGAGUCUCCCGAGAAGAGAUUCAGACUGAACAGCUUUGUGUCAGACUUUAGAAGACCGCUGCUGCCCAAGGUGUUCUCUGGCAGGGCAAUGACGAAUCUCGGUCCCUCUUUCACUGCUACGUCAGUGAAGUGGACCACUUGGACAAGGCCAAAGCUGGUAUCUCAACCAUUGCCCUUGACAAUGAUAUUCGGCUCCAGGAAGCCAUCAGAUGCAGCAAGUG